AGCUCCGAGGUGUUUAACACGUUAGAUUGCAAAUCUUAAAUGGCGGCGUAAGGCCGCCGGGGCUU
rnacentral:tRNA from 1 species